AGUGAACGCUGGCGGCGUGCUUAACACAUGCAAGUCGAACGAGAACGGAAUAUAGCUUGCUAUAUUUGUCAGCUAAGUGGCGCACGGGUGAGUAAUGUAUAGAUAACCUGCCCUUAAGAUAGGAAUAACAGUUGGAAACGACUGCUAAUGCCCUAUAUGCCUUUAAUACAAAAGUAUGCAAGGGAAACGCUUUAGUGCUUAAGGAUGGGUCUGUAUGGUAUCAGCUUGUUGGUGAGGUAAUGGCUCACCAAGGCUAUGACGCCUAACUGGUUUGAGAGGGUGAUCAGUCACACUGGAACUGAGACACGGUCCAGACUCCUACGGGAGGCAGCAGUGGGGAAUAUUGCACAAUGGACGAAAGUCUGAUGCAGCAACGCCGCGUGGAGGAUGACACAUUUCGGUGCGUAAACUCCUUUUAUAUAGGAAGAUAAUGACGGUACUAUAUGAAUAAGCACCGGCUAACUCCGUGCCAGCAGCCGCGGUAA
rnacentral:rRNA from 1 species